GAUGGUGGUGGUGGUGGUGGUGGUGGU
rnacentral:piRNA from 1 species